CCUACGGGUGGCAGCAGUGGGGAAUAUUGCACAAUGGGGGAAACCCUGAUGCAGCGACGCCGCGUGAGUGAAGAAGGAUUUUCGUAUGUAAAGCUCUGUUAGUAGGGAAGAAAAUUACGGUACUUGACCAAGAAGCCCCGGCUAACUCGGUGCCAGCAGCCGCGGCAAUACGUAGGCGGCAAGCGUUAUCCGGAUUCACUGGGUGUAAAGGGAGCGUGGGCGGCGGGGCUAGUCUGGAGUGAAAGGCGGGGGCUCAACCCCAGGACUGCACUGGAAACUGCCAGGCUGGAGUACAGGAGGGGGAAGUGGAAUUCGUGGUGUAGCGGUGAAAUGCGUAGAUAUUAGGAGGAACACCAGUGGCGAAGGCGGCUUACUGGACUGUAACUGACGUUGAGGCUCGAAAGCGUGGGGAGCGAACAGGAUUAGAUACCCUGGUAGUC
rnacentral:rRNA from 1 species